UAGGGAAUCUUCCACAAUGGGCGAAAGCCUGAUGGAGCAACGCCGCGUGUGUGAUGAAGGGCUUCGGCUCGUAAAACACUGUUGUAAGAGAAGAAUGACAUUGAGAGUAACUGUUCAAUGUGUGACGGUAUCUUACCAGAAAGGAACGGCUAAAUACGUGUCAG
rnacentral:rRNA from 1 species